AUGAAUCUCCUUCCGAGGUUGCCGUCGCAGGUUGCCGCCGUGACGGAAACCAACACGACCCAUCACUGUUAUUGUUCGCCGGCUGUCAUCCACGUCGUGGCUCGUCGCCGGCUGUCGUCCAGGUCGUGGCACUCCGUCGUGGCUGCAGCAGGGAUCGAGGAUUGGAGGAACGAAGAGAUUUGGGAGAUCUCGAAUUGGGGGAGCUGCUGGGCGGAGGAGGGGUGUACAUGGGAAAUUUACACGGCUGACUUGAGCUGCUGCGGGCGCUUUUCUGCAAAAGGACGCUGGACGCACAACAGGCACAUGAUUUUGAUCGAACGGCCGGUGAUGACAGGAUACAGGGAUGCACGAGGGAUGCUGGAUUCACAAGAUAAAACCCAUAUAUAUAUAUAA
rnacentral:rRNA from 1 species